CAGGACACUAUUUUUGGAAAAUAAAGAUACCUUUAUAGGUACAAGAUACAGCUUCUUAUUCACCACUUUCUGCACAUCAAGAAGAUGAGGAGCCAUAAUGAAUUGCAGGCAGAGCACAGCGGCCCCCAGCCAGCUCAUACAGAAUAAGAUAAAGAUCCGAAGAGCGGGUGCCAGACGGAGGGCAGUAGCAGUCCGGAAGCAGGAGCGGGGCUGUAAAAUCAUGCAGCCACUGGACAGGCAGCAUCUCCACCAUCAUCUGGGACAAAAAGGGCCAUCUGUGUGUGUGUUCAGCAAUACACUGAGAGUUGGGGAGGUGCACAGGUCUCUUGUUAUUAGUCUAGGGGAGGAAACUUUCUCAUUCAUGAUGAGUCAUUGGUCAGUUCAUAUGCAAGCCUUGAAGACAUCAAAAGGGCUGGCCUGAGUUUCCUGUCCAUCACAUGCUUUAAAUGGAAUGUUCAUUGUUCUCAUCAGAAUUGUGGCUUUAUAUUCCUACAUUCAAUCAUAACUACUCAUGGCAAUGUGCUACAACUUAAUAACAGGCAUCAAAUGAAUCUACACAUUAAUCUGGUUACUUUGACACCAAGCACGACAUGUCCAUCUUGCUCCGCUCCAAUGAUACACAUACAUGACGUUACUCCAUUAUAUAAUUUAAAACUUUAUGAUGUCUGGUGUUUGAUAUGUUCAAUUUAUGUGCUGUAUGAAAUAUGUGUUGAAUCUUUCUUUGUGGCAUAUCUGUGUAAAUGCGUAUGUUACCAUAUAUUGCUGUGCUCGCUGCUCGUAUUUGCAAAAAUAGCGAGUCAUAAUGUAUGGAGUCUGUAUGUUCUCUCUAUGUAAUAUUUUUGACUUCGACAGUCCACCCUUUGGCAGUAAACAAUAACUGCAAUAAAUUAUUAACAUAAGAAAAAUAUUUCAGACAAUAAUCGGUGACCUAGACACACGUAUGUAUUCAUUUCGCAAAUCAGACACUUGACUAUAUUUGGGGAAGACAGGGAGGAGGACGAGACAUCCUCUUUAUGCACUCAGUGGUCACGGGACCACUGUUUGGAUGUGGGACAACAUUCAACCUUAAGAGUAUGCUGGGACAGUGCUAUGGCCUAUGAUGUCUGAUUUGAACGAACAUUUCACACAUACAUGUACCUACGUUUUUGUACACUGAUGUUCGGAUUCGAUUGAGGUUCUGCUGGGUAGAGGGAGAAAACUAACAAAUCGUGAAAGAGACAUAUAACAUUUUCAUGAUAUACAUAUUCCUAUCAUUUUCUGAACAUUGUUUCCAUUUCUGGAACGUAUGCUAGGUCUGUUUCAUCAUUGAACAAGGGUUAUAAGUAGUGUCCUUCCUAAAUAACAUAAACCUUCGGAGUUCGGGGAGAGCCACUCAUAAACCUUUCUUCCACAUAUAUUAAUGAGCUCUUUAUCUGCAAUGUGUGAAUAGCCAUUGUCUGAUUGUUCCUGAUUACCUCCCAAUUUCCUGAAAUUGGUGAGAUUUAAACAUACCAGGGAUUUAUCUAUGGUACUGGUGGAUCUUAAGGCUAGGGGGUCUAGUUAUAUUAUAUUCUAUAUAUAGGUGGUGGAGGAGGCGACCCGAUCUUUGACACAUAGGAGAACUGCUGAAAGCUGAAAGCUCUGACGAUCCUUGAGGAGGGAUACCAUGAGAUUAUCUGUUCUAAACCACAGUUCAAAUUAAUCUGGUAAUUAUCCGCUGUUAACUAUUGACGGGAAAGCCACCUCCUUAAAAAAGAACUAUAUUAUGCCAUGCACUGCACUUUUAUGUCUAUCAUAGAACCAUUUUAAUUGUUGUCUGUUUAUUUGUGUAAAUUAAAACGGUGUUACACUAUAUACCUUC